UACGUAGGCAGCGAGCGUUGUUCGGAGUUACUGGGCGUAAAGAGUGCGUAGGCGGUUUUCUAAGUUUGGUGUGAAAUCUCCCGGCUCAACUGGGAGGGUGCGCCGAAGACUGGAAGGCUUGAGUAUGGGAGAGGUAAGCGGAAUUCCUGGUGUAGCGGUGAAAUGCGUAGAUAUCAGGAGGAACACCUGCGGUGUAGACGGCUUACUGGACCAUAACUGACGCUGAGGCACGAAAGCGUGGGUAGCAAACAGU
rnacentral:rRNA from 1 species